CUCAAAGAUUAAGCCAAGCAAGUGGCUAUGAUAACCCAACAGUUUAAAUAAGUGAUUAUUUAUUCGAAUUUUUUAAAGUUUUGUUUUACAAAGCGUUUAUUCAUUUAUGCAACUGCAAACAGCUGCUUAAUAUAGUUACACUUGUCUUGACUUGGCGUUCAUAUUUGUAUAAUUUUUUAUAUUGAUAUUAGAUAUUAAUUUGAUUUCUCUGUAACAUUUUUUAUUGUUAUAAUUUUAAAUUUUUAAAAGUUUUGGAUAACUCAGGGAAAGUUUGGCUAAUACGUACGAGAAUUAAUAUUUUUGAUAUUCAUAAUUAUGUUUUUUUGGUGUAUAUUUUUUUAAAGUAUAUUUUUGUGUUGUUAAAUAUUUUGAUUGUGAUAUUUUCUAUAUAAUACUGUGAUUAUUUUUUGUCUUUAAAUUUGUUUGAGGAGACAAAUUAAUUUGAUUAUUGAUAAAGAUUUAGGUAUUAAUGGUCGACACCUAGGAUUUUAUUAGUUUUAGCUGUCGAGCAUUUGUGAUAAUCUUUGUUUUUUAAUUUUUAAAGAUUCAAACAUUCAAAUAGUUUUAAGAAAUAAGAAAUAUGUAUUUCUAGAUUGUUGUAAAUAAUAUCGUGUGUAAUCAUAAAUAUAUGAAAUAUAAUUUAAUAUAAAAUAUAGUUUGAUCUGAAUUGAUAUUCGGAUUUUUUGUUGUUAAUAAUUGUGGAUUUUUUAUGUCUUCAGCACUUAUCGGUAAAUUUUUAUUGAAAUUUAAUAGCUACGUGAAAUGACGAUAAGUACGCGUGUAUUUAAUAUGUGUUUACAUAUAUUGAUUACAACAUUGCUGAGCAGACUUUGCGAAGUGAAAAUCUAAGCGAAGCAUGUCAUACAAGCAUCUAGAGCAUCAAGUCACCGGGUUGGCAAGUGUAUUUUUGAACCUUCAAAGCAAUAACGCAUACGGAAGAGUAGUUUCUGAUCCCAUAGAAGGAGCAAAGUCCAUUGAGAGAUCGCUCUUAGUUCUAAGGAACGCAGCAGGCGCGUAAUUUGCCCAAUGCUAGUACCCUAUUAUUAUUAGUAUUGUAUUGUAAUUUUUUUGUGAUAACGUAUAUGCAUAUGCGUUAUUACUAGUGUUAAUGAUUUUAUCCUUGUUUUCUAUGUCGAUGUAAUUAUAAUAUAAUUUUUUUAGUUAUUUACUGAGGCAGUGACAAGCUGUAAUGGUUGAGUAUAAAUAAGACAAACGUAUAAAUUCCAAUCUUGUUUUUAGCAAGUUAUUUAACUUUUGCGUUUUGUGUACUCAAUUAGAAUGCGGUGAGUUUAAACAACUCAGAACCUUUAAAUGGUAUUAGAGAUUAUCUUUAGCUAUUUAUGUAUCUGAAUUUCAAGUGGAGGGAAAGUCUGGUGCCAGCAGCCGCGGUAAUACCAGCUCCACUAGCCUAUACAAUUAUUGUUGCGGUUAAGAGGCUCGUAGUUGGAUUGAACAAAAUUUUAAUUUUACGGUAAACAAGAUUUAUGAUUUAUUUUAGUAAAUCAUUUUUUGUUAUAAUUGAGUUUGAUUGUAUUGUGGUUUGUCACUAAUCUUUAAAUUUGAUUAUUUAUGUUAUAUAUUUUAAAUCAUUUUUUGUUAUAAUUGAGUUUGAUUGUAUUGUGGUUUGUCACUAAUCUUUAAAUUUGAUUAUUUAUGUUAUAUAUUUCAACACUGUGAACAAAUCAGAGUGCAUCAAACAUGUNGUAAAAGUGCAAUGCAUGAAUUAUCAUGGAAUGUUGCAUGUUAUUAGAUGUUUUUUGGUGUUUUUUAAAUAUUAUGAGGAGUGGUACACUAGAAAGUAAGAUUGUCAAAUGUAAUUUUUUUAUUUUGUGUAUAUGAAUCUGUAAGUUUUUUUAUGUGAGUAAGGUUGUAUGAUAUGAUGUACGAUUUAUAUUUAAUUGUAAGGCUUUUUGCUUGCUAAACAGAAUUAUAUGGAGUAAUAUGUUUGCCGAAACCGUGAAAGUAAGCCAUAGCGUGAAGGUAAUCAUUGAAAUAUGAGUAUUCAUUUGAAAAUGAGCUUUAUUACUAUAUACAUUUUUUUNUGGAGUAAGGUUGUAUGAUAUGAUAUGAUAUGUGAUAAAUAUAAUGUAUGAUACGAUGUACAAUAAAUAUAAUCGUAAGGCUUUUUGCUUAAUAAACAGAAUUAUAUGGAGUAACAUGCUUGCCGAAACCGUGAACGUAAGCCAUAGCGUGAAGGCUUUAUUACUAUAAAUAUUUUUUUCUGGAGUAAUGUUGUAUUAUAUGAUCUGUGAUGAAUAUGAUUGCGUGGUUUUUGCUUGAUAAAAGAAUUGUGUACGAGUAAGGCUGUAUUAUAUUAUAUACAAUAAACAGAAUUGCUAAAAUAUUUUAAAAAUAUUNAAAAUAUCUAUGUCGAUGGGGAUAGUUGGAGUCAAGAGUACUGCUUGGCGAGAGGUGAAAUUCAUUGACCCUAGCAAGACUACCAAAAGCGAAAGCGCUUGACUAGGCUAUACUCUUUGUGUUGUUUUUGAUUUUAUAUAUUUUAUAUUUCAUCUAAAUUUCACUUUACAAUGAAGAACGAAGGUUGGGGGAUCAAAGAGGAUCAGAUACCCUCGUCGUCCCAUUUGUUACAUCAAACGAUGGGCUCUCAAUUGCAUAAGCAUUAAGUUGUUUUUGCCCUCAAUCUGCAAAAUAUUUGGUUUGAGCUUGUGUUAAGUUUAACACGCUCACUAUUUUUCGUAUGGUUUCGAAGGACAUUUCAUUUAUAUAAUUUCGUUGCGUGUAAGUAUUAUAAUAUUACUUGAAAUAUUAGUAAUAUGUGUCUACACAUGAUUGUUUGAGCUUUGCGCUCAUAUUAUUGGUGAGAUGUAAGCACUAGAUGAACGUUUGCUGAAUAUAAGCAGAAAGUUUUUUGUUUUUUGUUCUAGUAUAACUUUUGUCAUGUAUAAAGUGUGAAGCACGCGUUAGGCACGCGCUUACUGCAGAAAUGUCUGAGACAUUCCCCUCCGGGGGUAGUAUGCACGCAAUUCGCCCUUACUUGAAGGAAUUGACGGAAGGGCACCACAAGAACGCGUGGAGCAUGUGGCUUAAUUUGACUCAACGCGGGAAAUCUUACCGGGUCCGGAUAUACUGAAGAUUGACAGGAAAUAAUGAUUAGUUUUUAAACUCUUACAUUUAAUUUGCUGGUCCUUUCAUAAUAGUAUGAUAGGUGGUGCAUGGCCGUUCUUAGUUCGUGGAGUGAUCUGUCUGCUUAAUUGCGUUUCGUGUAGGACUUAAUACUCAACAGUGUGCUACUUUACAAUACCCUUGGUUGUUGUGAAAUUUAUCUGUAGUGAGGGUUUUCGCAUAUUGAUAUAUUUUUUGAGUAAGUACAUCUUAAGCCCUGAACGCAACGAACGUGACCGCAACCCUUUGUAACUACCUUUUGGAAAAUUGCGCCUGGAUUUUUUUCAGGUUUUUGUGAUUAGCUAACUUAGGGGACUGCUGCGAUUUCUUUUAAACCAGAGGAAGGAUGCGGCAAUAACAGGUCUGUGAUGCCCUCAGAUGUUCCGGGCUGCACACGUGCUACAAUGAUUAUUGCAGUGAGCACCUCAUUUAAUAAAACUGAUCAUAAGAUCGAAAGAUUUUUUAUUGGUCAGAAUGGGCCUGCCUCGAAAGAGUGUAGGUAAUCAAUACGAAGUAAUGAUUUCUCUGAUUACAAAUUUUAUUUGUUUUUGAUAGCACACAAUAUGCUAACGCUAUAUCUCUGAAUAUUAGUAAAAAUAUUUUUUGUUGACUUUUUUGUUUAAAGUGGCAAAUUUAUAUUUUUGAAAUUUGGUGUGUUAUAGUUUUUUAGUAUGUGCUUUUUGUCAACUCUUGGUGGGGACAGACCAUUGUAAAUUGUUGGUCUCGUCUUAACUAGGAAUGCCUUGUACGGGUUUUGGUUUAACAUACCACCCGGAAUACGUCCCUGCCCUUUGUACACACCGCCCGUCGCUCUUACCGAUGGACUUCUCUGUGAGUUUAAGGGACUAAUAUGAUUUCAUUAUAGAAACUUAAACGAACAGUGCGGUCUAAAGGAAAGAGAAGUCGUAACAAGGCAUCGGUAGGUGAACCU
rnacentral:rRNA from 1 species